UACGUAGGGGGCAAGCGUUGUCCGGAUUUAUUGGGCGUAAAGAGCGUGUAGGCGGCUAGACAAGUCUGCUGUGAAAACUCGAGGCUCAACCUCGAGCUGUCGGUGGAAACUGUCUGGCUAGAGUCCGGAAGAGGAGAGUGGAAUUCCUGGUGUAGCGGUGAAAUGCGCAGAUAUCAGGAAGAACACCUAUGGCGAAGGCAGCUCUCUGGGACGGUACUGACGCUGAGACGCGAAAGCGUGGGGAGCGAACAGG
rnacentral:rRNA from 1 species